rnacentral:tRNA from 1 species
AAAUUCUUAGUAUAGUAGAGAGUAUAUUUAAUUGCAAAUUAAAAGGUAAUAGAAUUUUA